AGAGAGAGACAUGCGCGCAUAUCAAUAAGCGGAGGAAAAGAAACUAACUAAGGAUUCCCUCAGUAACGGCGAGUGAAGCGGGAAGAGCUCAAAUUUGAAGUCUUCAAGGGUUCUACCUUUACGAAUUGUAGUUUAAAGAAGUGUUUUCUGUUGAGGUUUUGGUAAAAGUUCUUUGGAAUAGGACAUCAUAGAGGGUGAGAAUCCCGUAUUUGACCAUUACUUUCCAACUUUGUGAUACACUUUCAAAGAGUCGGAUUGUUUGGGAAUGCAGUCCAAAAUGGGUGGUAAAUUUCAUCUAAAGCUAAAUACUGGCGAGAGACCGAUAGCGAACAAGUACCGUGAGGGAAAGAUGAAAAGAACUUUGAAAAGAGAGUUAAACAGUACGUGAAAUUGUCAAAAGGGAAGCGUUUGACACCAGUGUUGUUUUCUCGAAAAUCAAUUAAAAAAGGCAGGAUUUUGUGUUGUAUUGACUUUAUCAGCUUUCUGCACUCUUUUCUUGUCUUUUUUAAUGCACUUUUCGUUUAACAAGUCAACAUCAAUUUCUUUUGUUGUAAAAAGGUCAUUGGAAGGUGGCUUUCUUUUCGGAGAAAGUGUUUAUAGCCUUUGGCCUCUGCAAUCGGAGAGAUUGAGGUCUGCAGCGUAGAUCCUUCGGGGUUAGAUACAUUUGUGCUAAGUUAUAGCCUUUCAUAGACAACUUGUUGACUAUGAUCAGUCAUGUAGCUUACUCGCUUAUGCUAUUUUACCUACGCUUAGGAUGUUGAUGUGAUACUGCGAGCA
rnacentral:rRNA from 1 species